rnacentral:rRNA from 1 species
UACGGGGGGGGGCAAGCGUUGUUCGGAAUUACUGGGCGUAAAGGGCUCGUAGGUGGCCAACUAAGUCAGACGUGAAAUCCCCAGGCUCAACUUGGGAACUGCGUCUGAUACUGGAUGGCUUGAAUUCGGGAGAGGGAUGCAGAAUUCCUGGUGUAGCGGUGGAAUGCGCAGAUAUCGGGAGGAACACCAAUGGCGAAGGCAGCUUGCUGGGACGGUACUGACGCUGAGGCGCGAAAGCGUGGGGAGCAAACAGG